GGCCAUCUAUCCUAAACCCGGUCAUAAACUUCUCUACACACCUAUGACUGGUGAAAUGAAAUGCCUAUUGGUUAUACCUUUGUCUUGCGCAUUCCAUUCCAUCUCUUCCAAUGUUGAUGCAACACAUGCACCAACACCAUCACAAAUGAUAUGAUCAACUUCAUAUCAUCAUGCGACGUAUUGGUUCAUCGAUCUUGACCUCACUUGCUUUUCACCGUUGCAUCGGUCCAUCGGCGCCAAGUCUUUGUUCAAGCAUCUCG
rnacentral:lncRNA from 1 species